rnacentral:rRNA from 1 species
GUAGUCUCGCACAGAUGCAUAUCAAUAAGCGGAGGAAAAGAAACUAACAAGGAUUCCCCUAGUAACGGCGAGUGAAGCGGGAAGAGCUCAAAUUUGAAAUCUUAAAGGGUUUCCCUUUACGAAUUGUAGUUUAAAGAAGUGUUUUCUGUUGAGGUUUUGGUAAAAGUUCUUUGGAAUAGGACAUCAUAGAGGGUGAGAAUCCCGUAUUUGACCUUUACUUUCAACUUUGUGAUACACUUUCAAAGAGUCGGAUUGUUUGGGAAUGCAGUCCAAAAUGGGUGGUAAAUUUCAUCUAAAGCUAAAUAUUGGCGAGAGACCGAUAGCGAACAAGUACCGUGAGGGAAAGAUGAAAAGAACUUUGAAAAGAGAGUUAAACAGUACGUGAAAUUGUCAAAAGGGAAGCGUUUGACACCAGUGUUGUUUUUCUGAAAAUCAAUUAAAGAACUGUUUAUGCUAAGCUGUUUAGACUUUAUCAGCUAACUGUUUAGUUUUGAGCUUUUCUUUAAUGCACUUUUCAGUUAACAAGUCAACAUCAAUUUCUUUUGCUGUAAAAAAGCUUGAGGAAGGUGGCUUGAGAUUCGUCUUAAGUGUUUAUAGCCUCUUGCCUAUGCAGUCGGAGAGAUUGAGGUCUGCAGCGUAGAUCCUUCGGGGCUAAAUGCAUUUGUGCUAAGUUAUAGCAUUUUAUAGACAACUUGUUGACUAUGAUUUGUCUUGUAGCUUACUCGCUUAUGUUAUUUUACCUACGCUUAGGAUGUUGAAGACUCUACAGAGAUA